rnacentral:tRNA from 1 species
AGAGUUUUAGUUUAAUUAAAAUUUCUGUGUUGCAAACAGAAGAUGUGGACUUCCUGCAAGCUCUG